AGAGUUUGAUCCUGGCUCAGGAUGAACGCUAGCGGCAGGCCUAAUACAUGCAAGUCGAGGGGCAGCAAGUGUAGCAAUACAUGUUGGCGACCGGCGCACGGGUGCGUAACACGUAUGUAAUCUACCCAUUACUGGGAGAUAGCCCGGAGAAAUCCGGAUUAAUAUCCCAUAGCACUAUAACAUGGCAUCAUGAAGUAGUUAAAGAUUUAUCGGUAAUGGAAGAGCAUGCGGCUGAUUAGCUAGUUGGUGAGGUAACUGCUCACCAAGGCAACGAUCAGUAGGGGACCUGAGAGGGUGAUCCCCCACACUGGUACUGAGAUACGGACCAGACUCCUACGGGAGGCAGCAGUAGGGAAUAUUGGGCAAUGGAGGCAACUCUGACCCAGCCAUGCCGCGUGCAGGAAGACGGCCUUCUGGGUUGUAAACUGCUUUUGAUCGGGAACAAAGAGCCCUUGCGAGGGAAGUUGAGUGUACCGAUAGAAUAAGCACCGGCUAACUCCGUGCCAGCAGCCGCGGUAAUACGGAGGGUGCAAGCGUUGUCCGGAUUUAUUGGGUUUAAAGGGUGCGUAGGCGGCUCUUUAAGUCAGUGGUGAAAUCCUACAGCUUAACUGUAGAACAGCCAUUGAUACUGAAGAGCUUGAGUACAGACGAGGUAGGCGGAAUUUAUGGUGUAGCGGUGAAAUGCAUAGAUACCAUAAAGAACUCCUAUUGCGAAGGCAGCUUACUAGGCUGUAACUGACGCUGAGGCACGAAAGCGUGGGGAUCAAACAGGAUUAGAUACCCCAGUAGUCC
rnacentral:rRNA from 1 species